rnacentral:rRNA from 1 species
AUGGCCGCGCAGAUGCUCCGCCGGUGGCAGAGCUUCUACGGUGCCUUCGACCCCGUGGACGCCGCCAUCGAGGCCGCCGACCCCGACCAGUUUUCCCGCCACGUGUUCCGGCGCGCGAGGGGGGACCUGCUGGGACGGCUCUGCAGCGCCGCCGACGACGACCAGGCGGAGCGCAUCUGCCGGAUUCUCGACGACAUCAUGGCGGAGUCUCUCGAGACGCUGAGGCUGGUUCCAUCAACGCCAGAGGCGCCCGUCUCCACGGAGCUCGCCGAGUCUGUGCGCGCGCUGCGGGAGCACGACUCGGAGCGCGUCCGCCUCCUCGCGCGCGGCAUCGUGAGCGGGUGGGAGGCCUCCGUCCAGAACGAGGUCGACGGCGCUAAGGUCACACCAGCCACGCCCGUGAAGAAGCUGCCGCGGCCCAAGGCGGCUGGCGGCCAGCAACAUGCCUCCGCCGAUCCUGACGCAAAGACGAAGCGACCUCCCAAGAUCAAGCGGUUGGCGGAAAUCAUCAAAAAGGCGUCAGAUCCCGCCGCCAGCUUCGCCGACGGUGACCGAGCUGGGUUCUGCUCGGAGGAGAAGAUGGAAGCCGCGAAGCGCAAGCUCCGCCAGGGUUACCAGGAAGCAGAGGACGCCAAACGGCGGCGCAAGACGCAGUUGGUGCAGGCGCCCAAGAUGAUGCAGCCAAUCAGGUGGUGCACCAGCUCCAUGGUCAAGAAGACCUUCUCGGUCCGGACGACGCAGCUUCACGUGUAG